GACUAACCCGCGUUAGGGAUUGAACGGUUUGUUUGAAAUCCUUUUUGCUUUUCGCAAAAAGAUUGAGUAGUGAAAGCCCGACCCUUU
rnacentral:misc_RNA from 1 species